rnacentral:snRNA from 1 species
AUGCUCACUUUGGCAGCACAUAUACUGAAAUUGGAAGGAUAAAGAUUAACAUGGCCCCUGCACAAGGAUGACACACAAAUUUGUGAAGCGUUCCAUCUUCUU